AGCUUUUCGAAUUCGUGCUGAGAUUUCGUCAGACACCAACCUAUUAGGGCUGACCAGACUUGCAAGGUACGUGAAAUU
rnacentral:pre_miRNA from 1 species